rnacentral:rRNA from 1 species
GCUGGCGGCACUAGCGCGGUGGUCCCACCUGACCCCAUGCCGAACUCAGAAGUGAAACGCCGUAGCGCCGAUGGUAGUGUGGGGUCUCCCCAUGCGAGAGUAGGGAACUGCCGCAU